rfam:Xiphophorus maculatus strain JP 163 A Contig2488.2, whole genome shotgun sequence.
CUCAGAUAUGGCGACAUGGUCCCAAAGACCAUCAUGGGGAAGCUCUUCGGCUCCGUCUGCUCCCUGAGCGGCGUGCUGGUCAUCGCCCUGCCCGUCCCCGUCAUCGUGUCCAAC